AAAUUAACUUGUUUUCUGAGUCGCAUACAAUAGGACUUAGUAAACCCACCUCACAUGGAUAAUAUAAAGGUGAACAAACCAUAGAGCAGACUCAGCAGAGAUGGUUACAAUAAGAUCACAACAAUGUGGUGAAAAUGUUUACGUACGUGCCUAUGUGCAUAAAUCCUACAGCAAGAAGAAGAGCUGUGGUAAAGUUCAAGCACGAUGUACCCUCCAACAGUUGCUGCACAUAUUUAAUUCAAAAACCUGGAUUGUGUUCUAAUGUUCAUGCAGCAUUUUUUACCUUCAUUAUGUUAUACACGAUGGCCAAAAGCUCCUCUGACCUUCUGCUGCAUUUAAACUCAACUAAAUCUUUAAAGCAAACACGAAUAACCACAUGAACUCACGAAUUAUGAGGAGGAAGUCUGACUUCGAUCAGAUCAAUGAGACGGAACUUUACUACUGAGAUACAUUUGUGUUGGUGUUCAGCCGGACUCUUGAAUUGCACGAUAUUGUCAUGUUUAGUACUGUUACAUUCAUUUUAUAUACGCAUACCGAGUCACUAGUGCAAAUGUAUUGUAGCGAAUGUGCAUUGUGUAACUAUGGAUUAUAAUGUAUUUAACCCUUUCAUAUUAAUAGCAUGUAAUAUUUCACAAAAUAGGUCGCAUUAUGUUUCGCACCAGCGAUAAUGCAUUCGCUUCAUGUAUUGCCUUUCUCGUUUCGACCAAUUUGAUGACGUAUCGUUUCCGGUUUGCCGAGACUGCUCUAUAAUAUUGUGCUUUUUGUUCCACUUGUGAUCUGACCGUAAUCUUACUGCAUUAAGAAUUAAGUGUGUACAAUUUUAUCUGUAUUUGGAAUUUGGAUCGUGCAUCUUUUCAAUAAUAUACAACAAUUCGACAAUCAACAUCGUGUGCUUAUUAUCGUCUGAGGGAAUCCAGAUUGAAGUCACAUUCCUUAACACGUGAAAUUAAUAACGUGGGAAUCGAACUUUGAAUAUUAGGGUGAACAGUCUUUAUCCCUAAGACCGCAUCUCGUCUCCCUAUACUAUAGUACCGAGGAAGGAUAGGAAUUUGGUCUCGCAUCACCGCUACUGAUUGUCUUGUCAUAUUGGCACGGAGUCUUGGCAAGAUUGCUAUAUUGGCUUUUCUAACACCAAGUUUCACAACUUUGGCUUUUUUAAAACACGUUUGGCGUCAUAAUUUCCGUUUGUCAUUUUGGCUCCUUUUAUGUCUAUGCUAGUGUCUAUU